AAAAACGCGUAGAUAGGGAGAAGUAAGAAAAUGAUGCUUGAAAGAGAGAACCAUAACCUGCUGAAAGUGGUUUAAGCCCCUCAUUUCCUGAAAUGCACCCUGGAGCUCUUUGUUGAACUAACAGAUAGUAGGCAAAGGCGGAAUUUCCUCCGUUAUCGGGAAACAAGUUGGAAAUAGAAGCGAUUCGCUGAACAUUUCAAACAGAGUGGAACCGCGCUGACAAAGCGUCUCUGUC
rnacentral:ncRNA from 1 species